ensembl:lncRNA
CGGGGAGUGUGUGUGUGUACACACGUGUGUGUGCAUGAGCCAGGCUGGGCUCUCCUCCUCUCGUGGGUCCACCCUGACUUCGUGUCGCGCUUCCUGAAGAAAGGAAAAGCCCUGAUGUGCUUGUCACCUGAGCUGACGGCCGGGGCUGCGUGAUGGAGGCCGAAUGUCUUCACUUGGUCCCUCUUCAGACACUCAAAGGCCGCUCUGUUUCAGCCUGAUGACGAGCCGAUUGGAUAUAAUCUUGAGCAGCGGACUCAGGAGAUGGGGAGGAAUAGGGAAACUCUACAGUAGGCUUUGCAGGGAAGGAUCGUCUUUCUCCAGAAGUAGGAAACGAGCGUCGGAGGGUUCCUGCUGCCAGUCGGCUCUCUCCUCCUGUUACGACACGGGACCAAAUUCAAACCAUGUGUCCUCGCACCCGGUUAGCUGCUUUUGCCCACCUCUAGCAUUAGCAGUCUGGACGGAUCCAUUUCACUGCCCCUCUCCCGUGUAGCGUUCUCAUUCUCCCAGCCCCAAAUGAGCCUCUCCGUGGGACUCCUGCCUUAAUAGGCUGGAACUUUCCCAUGUCCGGUCUCCAAAGGUGGCUGUUAUCCUCCGAGGGCCCCUGUGCGAGUUUCAAGCUCGGGCUCAUGUUAUGAGCCGGGCGAGGUGGACUCCGGGAUGUCAGAUGUGAUGCUUCACACAGAUUUUCACGGUAGUGUCUGAGCAGACCUGUGGAUGAGUGUGACAGCUGGUUCCUCCACAUCAUGGAUUGGUCAGAGAUAUCUGGAGAUGCUCGUUUCAUAAGUGGAUUUCAGUUGUGUGGACUACAUCACAGCAUCUGCUGUUUCGGUUUCCCGUGCUUUGACUGCAGAGACUCGAUUACUCGGACUGUUUUAUUCUUUACGUCAUGUGUUUUCAGCUGAUUUGUCAGUACACUGUUCCAGUCAUGCUAAAAUAUACAAUACACAUACAGUAGUUAUGAUGUUGAAACUCUUGUUCACUGCACCCGUAGAUGCCCUACUAACUAAAGUUUAUAUGCCAGGGACUAGAUCUUCUAGCGAUCUAAUAAAUAUUGUUUGAAUGUAAAUUGUGCUAAUAUUUCAAUAAUAUAGCAAUGUUUUAUAAAGAAAUAAGGCACUUUGUUGUAAAUGACUACAGUAUAUCACAAUCUAACACAUCCUCUUGUACAGUAUUGCUUCCUUUUAAUAUAUAAAUAUUUUUUUUACAUACACGU